rnacentral:rRNA from 1 species
AUUGAACGCUGGCGGCAGGCCUAACACAUGCAAGUCGAGCGAGCGGCGGACGGGUGAGUAAUGUCUGGGAAACUGCCUGAUGGAGGGGGAUAACUACUGGAAACGGUAGCUAAUACCGCAUACCAUCAGAUGUGCCCAGAUGGGAUUAGCUGGUUGGUGGGGUAACGGCUCACCAAGGCGACGAUCCCUAGCUGGUCUGAGAGGAUGACCAGCCACCAUGGAACUUGGACACGGUCCAGACUCCUACGGGAGGCAGCAGUGGGGAAUAUUGCACAAUGGGCGAAAGCCUGAUGCAGCCAUGCCGCGUGUAUGAAGAAGGCCUUCGGGUUGUAAAGUACUUUCAGUGGGGAGGCGUUACCCGCAGAAGAAGCACCGGCUAACUCCGUGCCAGCAGCCGCGGUAAUAC